rnacentral:lncRNA from 1 species
AGGUUAGGGGUGAUAAAAUCCAUUCAGAAUAAGAGAAGUUCACUUUCCUUUCUUUAUGUUUCAUCCAAACCCAGGAUUGUACUUGUGCCAAAGUAAAGAUUUCCUCUGCAUCUACCUUACCUUGAUUAAAAAUAAUCCUGUUUCUAUGCUUCCAUAUACACCACGACUGAAACCCACAUGCUUUUCCAUAAUCUGUUGCCUUCUUGAUUUAAGCACAAGCAUGAGAAUUGUUCGAAAUGACAAAUCAAAUCAUUGUGGUUCACCGAACUAAUCCCCAACCAGCUGAGGCACAAAUUCCAAACUUUAAUUGAUUCCUCGCAUA